rnacentral:rRNA from 1 species
AGAACGAACGCUGGCGGCAUGCCUAAUACAUGCAAGUCGAACGAACACUUCGGUGUUAGUGGCGCACGGGUGCGUAACGCGUGGGAAUCUGCCCUUGGGUUCGGAAUAACAGUUGGAAACGACUGCUAAUACCGGAUGAUAUCGAAAGAUCAAAGAUUUAUCGCCCAGGGAUGAGCCCGCGUAGGAUUAGCUAGUUGGUGAGGUAAAGGCUCACCAAGGCGACGAUCCUUAGCUGGUCUGAGAGGAUGAUCAGCCACACUGGGACUGAGACACGGCCCAGACUCCUACGGGAGGCAGCAGUAGGGAAUAUUGCACAAUGGGCGAAAGCCUGAUGCAGCGACGCCGCGUGAGGGAUGAAGGCCUUCGGGUGUAAGCUCUUUACCCGAGAUGAUAAUGACAGUAUCGGUAGAAUAACGCCCGGACUAACUCCGUGCCAGCACGCCGC